rnacentral:rRNA from 1 species
UACAGAGGUCUCAAGCGUUGUUCGGAUUCAUUGGGCGUAAAGGGUGUGUAGGUGGCGCUGUAAGUCGGGUGUGAAAUUUCGGAGCUUAACUCCGAAACUGCAUUCGAUACUGCGGUGCUUGAGGACUGGAGUGGAGACUGGAAUUCCAGGUGUAGCGGUGAAAUGCGUAGAGAUCGGAAAGAACGCCAACGGCGAAAGCACUCUGCUGGGCCGCCACUGACACUGAGAGACGAAAGCUAGGGGAGCGAAUGGG